rnacentral:rRNA from 1 species
CGGUGGAGCAUGUGGUUUAAUUCGAGGCAACGCGAAGAACCUUACCAGGUCUUGACAUCCCUGACAACCCGAGAGAUCGGGCGUUCCCCUUCGGGGGACAGGGUGACAGGUGGUGCAUGGUUGUCGUCAGCUCGUGUCGUGAGAUGUUGGGUUAAGUCCCGCAACGAGCGCAACCCUCGACCUUAGUUGCCAGCAUUCAGUUGGGCACUCUAAGGUGACUGCCGGCUAAAAGUCGGAGGAAGUGGGGAUGACGUCAAAUCAUCAUGCCCCUUAUGACCUGGGCUACACACGUGCUACAAUGGUUGGUACAACGAGUUGCGAGUCGGUGACGGCGAGCUAAUCUCUUAAAGCCAAUCUCAGUUCGGAUUGUAGGCUGCAACUCGCCUACAUGAAGUCGGAAUCGCUAGUAAUCGCGGAUCAGCACGCCGCGGUGAAUACGUUCCCGGGCCUU